AGCUCUGAUUUAUUAUUUGAAUUGCAAAUUCAAAGAAGCAGCUUUAAAUGCUGCCGGGGCUU
rnacentral:tRNA from 1 species